GUUAGGAAUAUUGGACAAUGGGCGAAAGCCUGAUCCAGCCAUGCCGCGUGAACGAUGAAGGCCUUCGGGUUGUAAAGUUCUUUAGCCGAUGAUUAUAAUGACUGUAGUCGGAAAAUAAGCCCCGGCUAACUUCGUGCCAGCAGCCGCGGUAAUACGAAGGGGGCGAGCGUUAUUCGGAAUCACUGGGCGUAAAGCGUGCGUAGGUGGUUUUGUAAGUUAGGAGUGAAAGCCCAGGGCUCAACCUUGGAAUUGCUCUUAAAACUGCAAGGCUCGAAUCUCGGAGAGGAUAGCGGAAUUUCCAGUGUAGCAGUGAAAUGCGUAGAUAUUGGAAGGAACACCAGUGGCGUAAGCGGCUAUCUGGACGAGUAUUGACGCUGAGGCACGAAAGCGUGGGGAUCAAACAGGAUUAGAAACCCCGGUAGUCC
rnacentral:rRNA from 1 species